ACCAAGAUAAUGGUGGAAAGUUGAAUUGACCAAAUUUGAGAGCGUGGUCAGAAGGCUGGUUUUCAUCGACUCUCCUUUUCCCUAUUAUUGACUUGUCAUGUUGCUCUUUUGACAGUGGGAAGCAGACCGAGUUUCAUAUUGAACCUGAAUUGGUUCUGGAGUUGAUGAUGGCAGCCAAUUAUCUCCAUACAUGAGCAUGCCAUCUCUCUUGGGUGACCAAGUCCUAUUUAACAUUGAUUGCCCAGGAGGAUGUGCGGGGAUGUGAUCGUUACCUGAGAGGGCGUGAAAAGCAUAGGAAAUCUACGUUGGUGUCAAGCACUGGAAUUCUCUCCCAGACUGCAAUGUAGUAUAUAUAUAUAAGAUUAUUGUAGUCAAAUUCAUGCAGUUAUAACUUAUAAGAUAUUGUAAGAUUACUUUCGAGACAUUAAUGAUUAGUCUCAGAAUCAUCACCAUAAGUAGAAUAGUUUUU